CCUCCUUCUGCACCACCCUGACCCCAGCAUUUUUGAGAAUUGGCAGGGCAGAGCAACCUAGUGCUAGAAAAACCACAGGCUAACAGCUCACGGCUCCUGCCUCCACAUGCCGGCUGCCAGCUGGUGUGGGGUGCUGGGGCCAGUCCCUCCCCAGGCCGGGGCUGCAGUUUCCCUCUUCAGAUCCUAAGAUGCUGGAACAGACACUCUCUGAGCCCCUCCCUGCUCCAGCAUGAGGCACGCGCACACCUUCCGUCUUGCUUUCUGCAAAGGUGGCUGGAGGCAGAGUUCAGCUGCCAUUUGCAAGGCUACCCCCAGCCUUCGUGUCUUUGGGGGUCGGUUUCUAAUAACACAAGCACACACAGCACAUUCUGGGGUGAGUCAAAUGUGAAUUCCCCGUGACCCUCCCUCAGGCCCUGCCUCCCUCCCCCAAAGGGGACUGCCCCCAUCAGUGCAGGGACCACCCUUGUGGCUCUUUGAAGGGCAUCCACUUUCGUGGACACUGCAGAUGCAGAAAGAGUUCCGCAUCGGGGCGCCUGGGUGGCUCAGUCCGUUUCGGCUCAGGUCAUGAUCUCACAGUUCGUGAGUUCGAGCCCCGUCUCGGGCUCUGUGCUGACAGCUCAGAGCCUGGAGCCUGCUUCGGAUUCUGUGCCUCCCUCUCUCUCUCUGCCCCUCCCCUGCUCACGCUCUGUCUCUCUCUGUCUCUCAAUAACAAAUAAACGUUAAAAAAAAAAUUUAAAAAAAAAAAGAAAGUUCUGCAGGGAUUGGCAGUUUGUUUUUUAAUAUAAAUGGGACUCUACUGCUCGAGUCGCGCUGCAACCUGCUCUUUUCUCUUCGCGGCUGUCUGGGGCAGAUGUCCAUGUCUGAAUGGAGAGAUCACCCCCCCAGUUUGCUGCACUGCUCUAGAAUAUGCCAUAGUAUGCACGCUCUGGAGUUCACCUGCCCGUUCUCCUCACUGUCAAACACCUUCUAGGUUUCUAAUCUUCCAUUAUUCCACACAAGGCUGCCACAGGCUUGUGCUCAGCGCUCCCUGGGCUUGCGAGGCUGCGGGACACGCCGUUUCUGCGCAAGGUCGUUGGGAGCCGCUCUCAAGGCCACUCGAGUUCAGAUCCCCAGUGCAGUUCCCAGCUGUGUGGCCCGGGACGACUCACUGGCCCUCUCUGAGAACUCCCGGAGGAGCAGGGUGUCUUUACAGCAUGCGACAGAGCAGGGGGAGCGGAAGUUCCUGGAGUCUACAAGCUUCCCCACCACUGCCUCCGUCAUCGCAUUCCAGAACCCAGAACCAAAGGCCACCUCCUGAGUCCACUGGUCCCAUCCACUGGCCUUUAGGGGCAGGUCCACCCUGGUUUUGCUCUGCUGCUGGCACGCCUGGGAAACUGCCCACCUCCUCCCAAGCGCCCCGUGCUCCUGCCUUCCCAGGGGCGCUGAGGCUGUGGACCGUCCCACCUCCGACAUCUUCUGUGAGGGCUCCUUGGCUGGCCAGGGGCGUCCUGCCCAAGGUGUGCUCCCAUCAGGAAAGUUCUGGGCUCUGGCCCCUAAGAAGGGCCGGGCAGCCUGGUGGCUGCUUCGAGAACCCUCAUCCCUCUGGCUGUUCGCACUCGCAUCCAGCUUUCGCAUCCAGCUUUCCCGCCAUUCUCCACAGCCACAAGGCUUCUGCCGUCCUCCCGCCCCCACCAAGCGUGGCUCCCAGGCCCUUCCUCCGGCUUUGCCCUGGGCCCUCUCUGCUGCAGCUUUGUGCAGGAGGCUGGGCAAGGACGGAGGAGCUCUGA
ensembl:lncRNA